UUGGUCUGAAGGGGAAAAUAUGAAAAACUGCUGUCACUUUCAAUACCCUUUUUUGCGAUGACAUGAAAUCAAUUAAAUUCAAGUUUCAAAAACCAAUUUGAAGUGCAUAAAAGUAAUCGAGAUUUUACUAAAUUUGUUUACUGUGUAAAUUUAACCGAGUAAACCACUGCAAUUUAUUGCUGAUGUUGAUUAACACACAAUUAAAACGAUGCAACCAUCAAUUUGUUCGUGUUUCGUGUUUGCUGUAAAACCAGUGGCAUAAUAUGUUACAACUGCCACAACAUACAUUUAUCUUUCAGCUUCGUUAUCAACUACAGUGUUGCGAGUGCAAACUUAAACCGACAGCCAGGAAGGACACUUUGCUGAAACAUGAUCAAGUGUUUUCAAUUGGAAAAUUAAAUCAAAUCCAAUCAAAUCAGCAUGUGAUAUCCAAACACACAGACUGAUACGCGAUACCAGAUUCAAGAUACAGGAUACCUUUAUAUAACGCGUACCAGGAGUAGAGGCAA